rnacentral:rRNA from 1 species
AGCGAACGCUGGCGGCAGGCCUAACACAUGCGAGUCGAACGGACCUUUCGGGGUUAGUGGCGGACGGGUGAGUAACACGUGGGAACGUGCCUUUAGGUUCGGAAUAGCUCCUGGAAACGGGUGGUAAUGCCGAAUGUGCCCUUAGGGGGAAAGAUUUAUCGCCUUUAGAGCGGCCCGCGUCUGAUUAGCUAGUUGGUGAGGUAAUGGCUCACCAAGGCUACGAUCAGUAGCUGGUCUGAGAGGAUGACCAGCCACACUGGGACUGAGACACGGCCCAAACUCCUACGGGAGGCAGCAGUGGGGAAUCUUGCGCAAUGGGCGAAAGCCUGACGCAGCCAUGCCGCGUGGAUGAUGAAGGUCUUAGGAUUGUAAAAUCCUUUCACCGGUGAAGAUAAUGACUGUAGCCGGAGAAGAAGCCCCGGCUAACUUCGUGCCAGCCGCCGCAGUAA